rnacentral:rRNA from 1 species
GCUUGUCUCAAAGAUUAAGCCAUGCAUGUCUAAGUACAAGCCUCAGUAAGGUGAAACCGCGAAUGGCUCAUUAAAUCACACCUAAUCUACUGGAAAGUUACUAGUUACUUGGAUAACUGAGGUAAUUCUUGAGCUAAUACAUGCGAAAAAUCUCGACUCACGGAGAGAUGCUUUUAUUAGAUCAAAACCAAACGGCUUCGGCCGUCUCAUUGGUGACUCUGAAUAACUUUGCGGAUCGCAGACCUCGCGUCGGCGACGAAUCAUUCAAGUUUCUGCCCUAUCAGCUUUGGAUGGUAGGGUAUUGGCCUACCAUGGCUCUAACGGGUAACGGAGAAUUGGGGUUCGAUUCCGGAGAGGGAGCCUGAGAGAUGGCUACCACAUCCAAGGAAGGCAGCAGG